GACAGAGGGUGCAAACGUUGUUCGGAAUUACUGGGCGUAAAGCGUGUGUAGGCGGUCUCAUAAGUCGGGUGUGAAAGCCCAGGGCUCAACCCUGGAAGUGCACUCGAAACUGCGAGGCUUGAGUACCGGAGAGGUUGGUGGAAUUCUCGGUGUAGAGGUGAAAUUCGUAGAUAUCGAGAGGAACACCGGUGGCGAAGGCGGCCAACUGGACGAGUACUGACGCUGAGGCUCGAAAGCAUGGGGAGCAAACAGG
rnacentral:rRNA from 1 species